UGAAAGGCGAAACGUAAUGUGAAUCGCAACUAACAGUGAAUCAUCGAAUUUUUGAACGCAUACCGCACUCCCUAACCAUUUUCUUUUGAAAAUGGUAGCGAGUAUCCACGUAUGAGUGUCAGCCAAAUACUAUUUAUUUUGGUUCAUAAGGAAGGUUUUAUUACUAGAAUUGUGAAUUACACACUUUUUUUUUUAUAGUCUUUUAUUAGACAUAUAACAAGAAAUAAUAAAUACGUCUGGCCUCAUAUGUGGAAGAUUACCCGCUGGAUUUAA
rnacentral:misc_RNA from 1 species